rnacentral:rRNA from 1 species
UACGAAGGGUGCAAGCGUUACUCGGAAUUACUGGGCGUAAAGCGUGCGUAGGUGGUUUGUUAAGUCUGUUGUGAAAGCCCCGGGCUCAACCUGGGAAUGGCAAUGGAUACUGGCAGGCUAGAGUGCGGUAGAGGGUAGUGGAAUUCCCGGUGUAGCGGUGAAAUGCGUAGAGAUCGGGAGGAACACCAGUGGCGAAGGCGGCUACCUGGACCAGCACUGACACUGAGGCACGAAGCGUGGGGAGCAAACAGG